UUGUCUUUAAAGUACAAGUUCAUUUUCAAACACAUAUAACUCCAUCUUCAUAACCCUUUAGGAAACCCACGUUUCCAUCGUCUACCUGAGACA